GUGCCUAACACAUGCAAGUCGAACGAGAAAGUGGAGCAAUCCAUGAGUAAAGUGGCGACCGGGUGAGUAACACGUGACUAACCUACCUCCGAAUGGGGAAUAACUCCGGGAAACCGGGGCUAAUACCGCAUAACACCGCAAGGUCAAAGCAGUAAUGCGUUUGGAGAGGGGGUCGCGGCUGAUUAGCUAGUUGGCGGGGUAACGGCCCACCAAGGCGAAGAUCGGUAUCCGGCCUGAGGGGGCGCACGGACACACUGGAACUGAAACACGGUCCAG
rnacentral:rRNA from 1 species